GACGAACGCUGGCGGCGUGCUUAACACAUGCAAGUCGAACGGAAAGGCCCUGCUUUUGUGUGGUGCUCGAGUGGCGAACGGGUGUGUAACAUGUGAGUAACCUGCCCUGGACUUUGGGAUAACUUCAGGAAACUGGGGCUAAUACCGGCUAGGAGCUCCUGCUGCAGGGUGGGGGUCGGAAAGUUUCGGCGGUUGGGGAUGGACGGGGGGGUUAUGAGCUUGUGGGUGGGGUAGUGGCUUACCAAGGCUUCGACGGGUAGCCGGCCUGAGAGGGUGACCGGCGACCUUGGGACUGAGGUACGGCGCAGACUCGUACGGGAGGCAGCAGGGGGGAGUAUUACCCAAUGGGCGGAAGCCUGAUGCAGCAGCGCCGCGUGCGGGAUGACGGCCUUCGGGUUGUAAACCGCUUUCGCCUGUGACGAAGCGUGAGUGACGGUAAUGGGUAAAGAAGCACCGGCUAACUACGUG
rnacentral:rRNA from 1 species